CCUAAGACAAAAUAAUGGAUCAUUUUCUUUUGUUAUUUACCCAUUUGUAUCUACAAACUCUCUCCACCGACCAGAACCUAGGGUUUUCAUCGAUCCAUUCUCUCAAAUUUCGGUCAAUUUCAUUGGUUAACAUGGUAUUAGAGCAAUAAUUCCUGCAACUCGAUGAGGUUGUUCAUCCUAUCGGUUUAGAUUUUUCAAUUUUGAAGUUUUUCGGGUGUGUUCGACAAGGGUUGUUUUGCAACUUUCCGACAAAGAUUUGAGUUUUUCGGCGAUGUUUUUGAGGAAAGCUUCAGCAUUUUCUACUUUUGUUGAACAAAGCUUUAUUCCUUCGAGUAUUGUGAAGGAGAUACAGUAUCAUCUGUCCACUCCUUAGUCUAUACCUAGUUGAUUAACAUAUCUUUCGUGCUGUAGUUUUUGUAGCAUGUUUUCAUUCUAUUUGAAAUUGAUACUGUCGUUGUUGUGUGAAAUCGAUUCUUGAUUGUACUGUUCCGUGUGUUGGUUAAAGUCAUAGGUGCAGAAUCGACCUCUUCUCCUGCUGCCCUUGAAUCCUCUCCUACAAUCAUCGAUCUCUCACAUCCUCUCUAUGUCCAUACAUCAGACAACCCAGGUGUCUUAUUGAUAUCUGUUCUUUUUCUAGGGACAGAAUAUACAUCAUGGAGAAAGAAUAUAUUGAUUGCAUUGUCUGCUAAGAAUAAGGCUGGUAUGAUUAAUGGUAGAAUUUUCCAGCUUUCACCUAGUUCUCCUUUUUAUGACUAUAGGGUUAGGUAUAAUGAUAUGGUCUUUGCUUGGCUCAACAAUGCUAUGUCCAAAGACAUUGUUGAUAGUGCCUUACAUUGUGGCACUGCUAGGGACCUAUGGAAAGAUAUAGAGGAAAGAUAUGGGCAAUCUAGUGCUAGUAGGUGUUAUCAGAUUCAGAAAAAAAUUGCAGGGGUCUCUCAGGGCUCCUAUGAUAUUGCUAGCUAUUAUACCAAGCUUAGGAAACUCUGGGAUGAGCUGAAACAACUUCUUUUGGUCCAGCCUGCAUUUGUGGAGCUGAACCACAGGAGUGCAGUGAUGGUCAGAAACUCAUCCAUUUCCUCAUAGGAUUGAAUGACACUUAUUCAAAUGCUAGAAGCAACAUCCUUAUGAUGUAUCAUCUGUCAACCCUAGGGAAGGCAUAUUCUAUUCUUUUUCAUGAUAAAAGUCAAACGAAAAUUCAAUCUUCUGGUAGUCCUUUUGUAUCAAAAUCAGCUUAUUUCUCUGUGAAGUCCUCUCCUACCUCUGGCCAGUUCAACAAUACCUCUGCUCAGUUUAACAAUGGGCCCGAACCUUACCUUCAGAAGGUAACAUUGAUGCCAAGAGGGAAAAACUUGUGUGCCAAUACUAUAAAAAGCAUGGGCACUCUGUUGAGAAAUGUUAUAAACUACAUGGGUUCCCAAGUGACUUCAAGUUCAUCAAUGGAAGAAAAUCUUCUGCUUGCACUCAGGUUGACAUUCGUGCUUCAGAAGGUCAACCCCACAUCUAUCCCACGCCAUUUUGACUUCAGUGAGGAAAGAAGACUACUAACAAGUACCGCAGCAAUUGUCAAAAUGGAGAUUGAUAAUCGGUCAUGGGUUCCGUUGGUAGAGGAGUUCACUUUUGCAGCAAAUUCGGCCCCGUUCAAUAAUUGUCAUGCUUCUACUAUUGUCGAGGUGAAUAAAGAUCAUUUCUUGGUUGCUUAUUUUGGUGGUACAGUAGAGGGAGCUCCUGACGUGAAAAUUUGGGUACAAACUUUUAAGGAUGGCCAUUGGAAUGCUCCUGUUAUUGCCGAUGAGGAAUUUAAUGUCUCAAUGUGGAAUCCUGUACUGUUUAAGCUUCCUUCCAGUGAGAUACUCUUAUUCUAUAAAAUUGGGCAAGAGGUACAAAAAUGGAGUGGAUGCUUGAAGCGAUCUUAUGAUGGUGGUGUUACAUGGACGGCAAGAGAACAGCUUCCUCCUGGUAUAUUGGGGCCAAUAAAAAAUAAGCCUAUCUUGCUGGAAAGCGGUUCCUUGCUUUGUGGAUCAUCUGUGGAGAGUUGGAACUCUUGGGGAGCAUGGAUGGAGAUGACUGCAGAUUCAGGUAGGACAUGGAGAAAGUAUGGUCCAGUAUACAUCGAGAAUAACCCUCUUAGUGUGAUUCAACCCGUCCCUUACCAGACUGCAAAUGGGACAUUGCGUGUUCUUCUAAGAUCAUUCACUGGCAUUAAUAAGAUCUGCAUGUCGGAGUCCCAUGACAGUGGUUAUACUUGGAGUUAUGCAAAGCCUACUGAACUGCCGAAUCCUAACUCAGGGAUUGAUGGAACAAAGCUGAAAGAUGGUCGUCUUUUGCUUGCGUACAAUACAUUUUCUAGGGGUGUGCUAAAGGUAGCACUCUCAGAAGAUGAUGGAGACUCAUGGCACGAUGUUGUUACACUUGAGGAGACUGUAGGAGAGUUCUCUUAUCCAGCUGUUAUCCAAUCUAGUGAUGGAUUAGUUCACAUAACUUAUACAUACAACAGAACACAAAUCAAGCAUGUAGUCCUUCAACCCAAGUAAUGAAGUACGGAAAGAUGAGAAAACCUCUCAAGUGAAGAAGGUAUGUAAUCCAUAUUUGUGCCAUGGGACUGCUGGAAGAAUUUGAUAUACCACUUAUUUGAGACUGAUCUCACACCUAUUUUGUGAUUGUACUUCUAAUUCUAGAUUCAUAAUUCUCCUCGAAUCAGUUCUUAUGAUGAGGAUGAAGGGCAGCAAUUGUACUUUUUCACUUUUCUUUUCUAUUUUUGAUGCCUUUGUAUUCCUGCAAGAUUGACCAGGUCCUCGUGAGUUGCGGGUUCAAAUAUGUAUCUGGUUUUCACUGUUGCCUUAUCAGGAUGUACUUGAAAUUUAAGAAUUUAUUUAUGAUUAGGAAGAUGAUCCUUUUAUUAAGUUAGAAGUCAGUAACUCUUUAUGGCGGAGGAUGGUAAAAUUAAGAGUGUGGUGUAACAUGUGAACGAGGAUCUUAAAUUACUCGGUUUAUUUCCAAAUGUUCUUUUUAAAGUUAUGUGACAACAGAGACAGGUAAAUAACUUGAUAGGGGUGUGUGUAAGUAUUGUCCGUGCAUUUUUCUGCUAUUUCUUUUGACAAAUCAGGAUGAAAUAUCAUAGCCGCAUCACUCCUACAGCAAAUGAACAAUCCACAUGAUAUUGGUACAAGGCAUUAUUCUUUGUGAUUGCACCUGAAUUUCCGUGGCAAAGGACUGUGUUGGUCAUGCUCUCCUUCCGGAGGAACUAGCUUGUCCCUUUUGACCUUGCCUUUCUGGUACUAAUUCACUAUGCCAAGCUUAUAAUAGCAGCUGCUAUCUCCUCCUUGAAUUGCGUACACUUACUCCUUUUGAUCCACCUUACUCUGGUUGCUGCCCCUGCUCUUACUAUGCGUAUCCCGGCCCAGUUUUCCAUGGUAUUCGUCACCUCACUGAUCCAACUACAUGCAGCAAAGAGAUGAUAAUGUGUCUUCACAGUAUCUGCAUCACACAGACUAUACUUGUCAUCAUUAAUGGGAAUGUGUAGUCUAUGUAAUCUUUCCUUUGUUAAAAGCCUAUCUUGAUAUGCCAGCCACAUGAUCAGUCUUUGUUAGGUAGCAAACUUAUUGCUAAAGGUGCUUGAUGGUUUAUGCCA